CUCCUUGUGAUCCAAAUUCCGCAGUGUCAUUUCAGUGGCAACUUGGGAAGCCUGGUCAGUGGUCAGAUAGGUGGGGCCAAGCUAAACUUGGCUCUGGUUCGUUGGUUUAAAUACUCGUUGAAUACAACUGAAGUCUUGAGCCACCACCCAACACAAAUCUCUAUCCAAGUUCUGGGAAGUUUGUGCGAAUGGAUCGGCGAAGACAGAGUGAGUCACGACCAAAUCAAUCUGAGGUUAACGUUGUUGUUGAUGAUUCUACUGCCUCUAGUGGCCGCCUUCUCCACCUUCAUGCUCUUAGUAUUGAUUCUGCUUCCCUUCCAAAUGCAAACGAACAGAUGAGUCGAUGGAGUACUCUGGUACUUGCGUACAAGACUCUUGGAGUGGUAUUUGGAGGACUUGUAACAUCUCCAUUGUAUGUGUAUCCUUCAAUGCCUUUAAAGUCUCCGACGAAAGAAGACUACUUGGGUAUCUACAGCAUAAUGUUCUGGACUCUUACUCUCAUUGGUGUUGUAAAGUAUGCUAGCAUAGCUAUCAAAGCCGAUGAUCAGGGAGAAGGAGGAACAUUUGCCUUGUAUUCAUUACUCUGUAGGCAUGUGAAUAUAGGAAUUCUUUCAUCAAAACGUGUAAGUUCAAAUUCAAGCCUUUCACACUCUAUGCAGGAGGGCACUGAAAAGAAAAGUAGGCUCGGAAUUUUUUUUGAAAGCAGUAUAGUUGCUAGGAGGGUAUUGCUUUUUGUUGCUAUAUUAGGCAUGUGCAUGCUUAUUGGCGAUGGUAUACUUACCCCUGCAAUCUCAGUGUUGUUGGCAAUGGAUGGACUAAGAGCACCAUUUCCUUCUGUGAGUAAAUCUCUGGUGGAGGCACUCUCUGCAGUAGUGUUAGUUGUCUUAUUCCUGUUGCAAAAGUUUGGUACCUCUAGAGUGAGUUUCCUCUUUUUGCCUAUCAUGGCUGCAUGGACCUUGAGCACUCCACUUGUCGGAAUUUAUAGCAUUAUACAUCAUUAUCCAAGUAUAUUCAAGGCUAUAUCGCCACACUACAUCUUCCAUUUCUUUUGGAGAAAUGGAAAGGAGGGCUGGCUGUUGCUUGGUGGCACUGUCCUUUGCAUCACAGGUUCAGAAGCAAUGUUUGCAGAUCUUGGUCAUUUCAACCAGCGUUCCAUUCAGAUAGCUUUCUUGUUGACAAUAUAUCCUUCUUUAGUUCUAACAUAUGCGGGGCAGACAGCAUACCUGAUCAAGAAUCUCAAUGAUCAUGAUGAUUGAUUCUACAAGUUCAUACCAACUGCAGUCUAUUGGCCUAUCUUUAUCAUAGCCACAUCGGCUGCAGUUGUUGCAAGCCAGUCGCUCAUAUCAGCCACAUUUUCGGUAAUCAAGCAAUCUGUAGUACUGGAUUAUUUCCCUCGAGUGAAGGUGGUACACACAUCCAAUAGUAAGGAAGGCGAAGUUUAUUCCCUAGAAGUGAACUACAUCCUCAUGAUUCUUUGCGUUGCUGUCAUACUCAUCUUUGGAGAUGGGAAAGAUAUUGGAAAUGCUUUUGGUGUCGUUGUCAGUCUAGUGAUGCUUAUUACCACUAUAUUGCUGACACUUGUGAUGAUCAUAAUAUGGAAAACUCCACCUGUGCUGGUUGCUCUAUACUUCUCUGUGUUUUUUGUGAUGGAAGGUGUUUAUGUGAGUGCAGUCUGCACUAAAAUUUAUGAAGGUGGAUGGAUUCCUUUUGCCAUAUCCUUCAUUCUUGCUCUUAUUAUGUUUGGCUGGUUUUAUGGGAGACAAAGAAAGCUAGAGUAUGAGGUAACUCACAAGAUAACUUUGGAGGGACUAAGAGAGCUUUUAUACAACCCUGGUGUCCAAAGGGUUCCUGGAUUGUGCUUCUUUUAUACUAACAUUCAAGAUGGGCUUACUCCUAUUCUUGAACACUACGUAAAAAACAUGAAAUCCCUUCACAAGGUCACCAUAUUCACAACUCUUCGAUAUUUGUUGGUUUCUAAGGUUGCUCCACAUGAGAGGAUCAUCAUCAGGAAACUGGGCCUAAUAGGGGUUUAUGGGUGUGUGAUUCAAUAUGGCUAUGCAGAUUCCUUAAAUCUUGAAGGAGAUGAUUUUGUAAGUCAAGUUACCAAUAGCUUGUAGAUGCAUCUACAGGGCUGCUCGGAUGGUCUAACAUAUGAUCCUGUGGAGAUCCAAGAAGAGAUUUCUGAUUUGGAACACACAAAGCAGGCUGGGGUGGUUCAUGUUAGAGGGAAGACAAGGUUCCAUGUAGGGAAGAACUGUGGCUGGUUUGACCGAAUCAUGCUUGCAUUUUAUGAAGUUAUGCACAACAAUUGUCGGUCUGCCCUGCCUGCUCUAGGGGUACCAUUACAGCAGCGUAUUGAGGUUGGAAUGCUUUAUGAGGCUUGAAAGGAUGCUUUCUAUCGAGUGUCAUCUCCUGUCCGUGUGAUUUUUAGUAAUAUACUGUAAGCAAAAGAGAGAGGGUGUCUAGAAACUUGGGGAAAGAAGGAUCAAGCUCAAUAUUAUAGAUAUUUUCUUGUAGGGUAAUGUAACGCAUUGGAGGGUUAAGGAAUUGAAGGUGGGGUUUGUGAGAUAGAAACCAAUGACACCCAUUGGAGCCAGUUUGACGAAUCCUUGAAAUCCUUGAAAAUAACAUCGUCGAGUCGAAGAGAGAGAAUGGGAGGUUUGGGGUUUUGGGGAGUUGAAGAAGAGGGGAGGUGGUGCGGUGAGUCAAAACUAUAAUAAACAGAGAAAAAAAAAAGUCUUCAACUUAUGACUAAGGUGAACCCCUGCCACAUGCUAGUGGUGACAUGCACACUUGUAGUUUUAUAUUGUACACCAUGCCAUCACUUUUCUUUUUUUAUGAAAAAAAAAAAAA